GACGAACGCUGGCGGCGUGCUUAACACAUGCAAGUCGAGCGGAGCGGCGAACGGGUGAGUAACGCGUGAGUAACUGCCCCCCCCUCUGGGAUAACAGUUGGAAACGGCUGCUAAUACCGGAUAGUAGGGGAUGACUCGGGUCCUAUCAGCUUGUUGGUGGGGUAGUGGCCUACCAAGGCGACGACGGGUAGCCGGCCUGCGAAGGCGACCGGCCACAUUGGGCUGAGAUACGGUCCAGACUGCUACAGGGGGCAGCGGGGGGGAAUAUUGCACAAUGGGGGAAACUCUGAUGCAGCAGCGCCGCGUGCGGGAUGACGGCCUUCGAGUGGUAAACCGCUUUCAGCCAUGACGCGGUAGUGUCAGAAGAAGCACCGGCUAACUACGUGCCAGCAGCCGCGGUAAUAC
rnacentral:rRNA from 1 species